UUUUGUACUGUGAGACAUGAG
ensembl:piRNA 21ur-10508 ncRNA